rnacentral:lncRNA from 10 species
CACUUGGCUCAGUGGGACUGGCGGGCGUGAUGCGCCCGUGGGUGGAGAUGGGUGUUCAUCCCCCAUCCCUCGGAGCAUCUGGACCUGGCGUUUCAUUGCAUGUAAAAUGGGACAGGAACACGCACCUCGGUUCAUGUGCUUGAGGAGUGUUUAGUGAGCACCUGCUAUGCGCCAGGCCUUUGGGCAGUGGACACAGGGAUAUGGCCGGGAUGAUAGACAGGUUCAGCCCUGCCAACACAGGUCUGGUUUGGGGAUGGACCCAAAGCGAGUGAGGAGAUGGAACAAGCUUCCAGCUCACAUGGUGUCAGGAAGGAUGAGAAGGCUGCAAGGGACUGAGAGGACAGUCAGUCUUAGCACCCGAAGGUGCUGAGGGGGAAGGGCCCCCUGGCCAGUAGGAACAGGCAUCCGGUCUUGGGAUGUCGAUCCUGGCGUCUGCAACCUUGAUGAACAGCUCAAGGUCUUUGUGUCCCGACACUCUGCCACCUUCUCCAGCAUUGUGAAAGGCCAGCGGAGCCUGCACCACCGUGGAGACAACCUGGAGACCCUGGUCCUCCUGAACCCAUCAGACAAGUC